rnacentral:rRNA from 1 species
AUUGAACGCUGGCGGCAGGCCUAACACAUGCAAGUCGAGCGGAUGAAGGGAGCUUGCUCCUGGAUUCAGCGGCGGACGGGUGAGUAAUGCCUAGGAAUCUGCCUGGUAGUGGGGGAUAACGUCCGGAAACGGGCGCUAAUACCGCAUACGUCCUGAGGGAGAAAGUGGGGGAUCUUCGGACCUCACGCUAUCAGAUGAGCCUAGGUCGGAUUAGCUAGUUGGUGGGGUAAAGGCCUACCAAGGCGACGAUCCGUAACUGGUCUGAGAGGAUGAUCAGUCACACGGGAACAGAGACACGGUCCAGACUCCUGCGGGAGGCAGCAGUGGGGAAUAUUGGAGGAAGGGCGAAAGCCUGAUCCAGCAAAGCCGCGUGUGUGAAGAAGGUCUUCGGAUGGGAAAGCACUUUAAGUUGGGAGGAAGGGCAGUAAGUUAAUACCUUGCUAUUUUGACGUUACCAACAGAAUAAGCACCGGCUAGCUUCGUG